rnacentral:lncRNA from 1 species
GAGCGCGCGUGGCUGACGUCAUUGUGGAGCGCCGUGGGCUCUCAGUUGGCGGCGGAUUCAAACGGCUGAACGCAGUCUCCGGGACCCAGGCGGCGUUAGAGCGUUAUAGUUCUCCUUACUUCCUCAGUGUUGGUUAGCUUGAACAGACCUCGAGAGGACCUCGGCAGCUGAGGCGGCUGGUGCCCGAGCUGGAGAAUGGCGCUUUCGACCACGGUCUCCCAGAGGAAGCAGAUCAAGCGGAAGGCUCCCCGAGGCUUUCUCAAGCGCGUCUUCAAACAACGGAAGCCUCACCUUCGUCUGGAGUCGCGUGGAGAUUUACUGGUGAGAGUUCAUCCUUUCUCAGCUGGGAGUGGGC